rnacentral:rRNA from 1 species
UACGUAGGGUGCAGGCGUUAAUCGGAAUUACUGGGCGUAAAGCGUGCGCAGGCGGUUAUGCAAGACAGAUGUGAAAUCCCCGGGCUUAACCUGGGAACUGCACUUGUGACUGCACGACUGGAGUACGGCAGAGGGGGAUGGAAUUCCGCGUGUAGCAGUGAAAUGCGUAGAUAUGCGGAGGAACACCGAUGGCGAAGGCAGUCCCCUGGGCCUGUACUGACGCUCAUGCACGAAAGCGUGGGGAGCAAACAGG